GUCGGUAGCUCAGGUGGUUAGAGCGCACGCCUGAUAAGCGUGAGGUCGGAGGUUCAAG
rnacentral:tRNA from 1 species